UACGUAGGGUGCAAGCGUUGUCCGGAUUUAUUGGGCGUAAAGAGCUCGUAGGUGGUUCGGUAAGUCAGGUGUGAAACCUCCAGGCUCAACCUGGAGACGCCACUUGAUACUGCUGUGACUGGAGUCCGGUAGGGGAGGCGUGGAAUUCCUGGUGUAGCGGUGGAAUGCGCAGAGUAUCAGGAGGAACACCGGUGGCGAAGGCGGGUCUCUGGGCAGUAACUGACGCUGAGGAGCGAAAGCGUGGGGAGCGAACAGG
rnacentral:rRNA from 1 species